CCGAAAGCUAUUUAGGUAGCGCCUCGUGAAUUCAUCUCCGGGGGUAGAGCACUGUUUCGGCUAGGGGGCCAUCCCGGCUUACCAACCCGAUGCAAACUGCGAAUACCGGAGAAUGUUAUCACGGGAGACACACGGCGGGUGCUAACGUCCGUCGUGAAGAGGGAAACAACCCAGACCGCCAGCUAAGGUCCCAAAGUCAUGGUUAAGUGGGAAACGAUGUGGGAAGGCCCAGACAGCCAGGAUGUUGGCUUAGAAGCAGCCAUCAUUUAAAGAAAGCGUAAUAGCUCACUGGUCGAGUCGGCCUGCGCGGAAGAUGUAACGGGGCUAAACCAUGCACCGAAGCUGCGGCAGCGA
rnacentral:rRNA from 1 species